GAUGGUAUAGCUGAGUGGUAGAGCAUGUACCUAGCAUGCACAGGGUCCUGGGUUCAAUUCCCAGUAUCUCCA
rfam:Camelus ferus unplaced genomic scaffold scaffold1026, whole genome shotgun sequence.